rnacentral:rRNA from 1 species
GGGAUAACACUUGGAAACAGGUGCUAAUACCGCAUAACCAUAGUUACCGCAUGGUAACUAUGUAAAAGGUGGCUAUGCUACCGCUUUUGGAUGGGCCCGCGACGCAUUAGCUAGUUGGUGGGGUAAAGGCUUACCAAGGCAAUGAUGCGUAGCCGAACUGAGAGGUUGAUCGGCCACAUUGGGACUGAGACACGGCCCAAACUCCUACGGGAGGCAGCAGUAGGGAAUCUUCCACAAUGGGCGAAAGCCUGAUGGAGCAACGCCGCGUGGGUGAAGAAGGUCUUCGGAUCGUAAAACCCUGUUGUUAGAGAAGAAAGUGCGUGAGAGUAACUGUUCACGUUUCGACGGUAUCUAACCAGAAAGCCACGGCUAACUACGUGCCAGCAGCCGCGGUAAUACGUAGGUGGCAAGCGUUAUCCGGAUUUAUUGGGCGUAAAGAGAACGCAGGCGGUCUUUUAAGUCUGAUGUGAAAGCCUUCGGCUUAACCGGAGUAGUGCAUUGGAAACUGGGAGACUUGAGUGCAGAAGAGGAGAGUGGAACUCCAUGUGUAGCGGUGAAAUGCGUAGAUAUACGGAAGAACACCAGUGGCGAAAGCGGCUCUCUGGUCUGUAACUGACGCUGAGGUUCGAAAGCGUGGGUAGCAAACAGGAUUAGAUACCCUGGUAGUCCACGCCGUAAAC